CGGCGGCCUUUUAGCCAUUGCUUGGUCGAUUUGAUUUCAAGGUGUCCCGUGGGUUAAUUAAAGAUCAAAUCGACAGAUUUUUGGUUAGUUUUGUCGCGUUGGCGUGUGAGUGGCUAAUAGAGUGUUUGUGUUGGCUGGCUCCCUGCUUUUGCAGCGAACUGUCAGCGCAAACAUAUUUCAGUCGAGACGGAGUUAUUGUCGUUGGAUUUUUGUGUUGCCUACCCGAUAGAUGGAAUUCUUACGGCGGGUGAUUUGUAAGUUCGUCGAACACCUCUUGAGGUGCGAUGCGGACGUUGAAGCUACCCCUUUUUUCCAUGUUCUUUAAUUUUUGAGAAACAUGGAAAAUUGGAGGUGUUGCUUGUUGCCUCGGAUGCAAAGCAUGAAGCGAGUUUGUUGCCUGUCCUCAAUGCUCAUUCAGAGCUCACGAUUGCUCGGAAAGAUAGACCGCUCGCGCUUGGUUUUGGCUGUCGGCUUGUCAAUCUAAGUCUUAACUUUGCCGACGUCUUUAAUGAUGCUACCUGGUUGAUCCUGCCAGUAGUCAUAUGCUUGUCUCAAAGAUUAAGCCAUG
rnacentral:misc_RNA from 1 species